AGAUGGGUGUCUGCCACAAGGGAGGCCCCAACAGCGAUGGCUGCAAACCCUUGGAGGUGGCAUUGCCAAAAGCGGACGUCAAUAGAUGUAAUGCAAAAAUAGUGUCUUGUGUUCAAAAAAGGUUGGGAAAUACUGAGUGAAAGAAUAGUGCACAAACCAUAGGCACACAGCUCAAGGAAUUAUCAGGAAUUGAACAUGUCCACGUGUGCCCAACCCAGCUCUCCAGCACACCUUCCCAGCCUCAACCCAUCAUCUGGAUUCUGAGGUUCUUGGCUCCAGUGAGGACGUUAUUGCUGAGAAUUAGAUGCUGAAGUUGGCACCAUCAAAUAACUAGUCCUGGAUGCAUGUCACUAGUAGCAGCCAUCUCACUGCCUCAGGAACUCAAGUUUACCAUGGUCACCAUGGCCUUGGAGAAUACUCACCUCAUCCUUUUUGUGCAUCACUCGCUCUCAAUUCUAAAAAAGGAGAGAACAUCUGAUUGGCAAAGCCUAGGUGAUACAAAUAUCUGGAAUUCUCAUCUUUUGUAAUGGGAAGUAACUCUGCUUGCUGUUAAGAUUCACAGAGUAAAUAAUCACCAGCUCCUGGAGGGGCUCGUGGGUAGGUAUGGAGAGAGAUGAGCAAUGGUCUACACAGAUGACAGAACAUAUCCACAUCCCUAAGCAGCUUUGGAGUAAACCAGAGUAAAAGCAACCAAAACAGAGUCCAAGUCAGGGUCCUUCCAUCCUCAAACCAGGCUCCAGUGGUCUGCUCUAGCUCAGGCGUGAUUAGAUUUGCAUUUUAGAAAGAAACUUUGGCUACCACAUGGAGAAAUAAUGAGGAGAAGCAAAUGAGAAGACCGCCCAAAGCAGCAGUUCUGGCAGGAGAUGGGCACUGGGUCUCCUAGUUGGUGGCUGAGUGCAGAUGCUGGCAGGAUGUCCUGAAGGUAGAAUGGAGUGCAUAAUUCUGCAGGUGUGAUGUAUCUUCAAAUAUUAGAAAAGCAGGAACAUGCUGAGAGCGAAACAGAAAAAUAAAUCAAAAAGAAAUCAAAA